AGGGAUUGAACUCAGGGACACUUGACCACUGAGCCACAUUCCCAGACCUAUUUUGUAUUUUAUUUAGAGACAGGAUCUCAAAUGAGUUGCUUAGCACCUCGCUUUUGCCGAGGCUGGCUUUGAACUCGAAAGCCUCCUGCCUCAGCAUCCUGAACCAUUGAGAUUACAGGUGUGUGCCACUGCACCUGGCCCUUACGCACUUUUUCUUGAAAAUAAAUAUUUAGGUGCCCAAAUUAGACUCUUUAUUUCAUUACCCUUCUACAUUUUAACUGACUUAGGCAUGGGAAUAAAUUUUAGUGUCCACACGUGUAUAUGCACUCUCUAUGUCACACGCUCCAUGAAACCUCUAACAAGUUAACACCUCUUUAGGAACUUAUCUUUAUGUAGAGAAAGUUUGACUGAAUGAUUAUUAAUGCUUUUUGAGCUGCCAGGUCUUAUGUCUUGGUGAUAGCAUCUUUGUUUAUGCUAGUCAUCUCUUCUGUGGCUUUCUAAUGUUUCCAUUUUUGUCCUGCCCCAUGUCUGCCUCUACCCAGAAGACCAGCUGAUCUCUUAAAAAUGUAAAUUGGAUCCAGUGUUACCCUCUAGUCCCAGUUUUACCCCCAGUGGCUUAAAAUAAAAACCAGUCCCUUAUCAGGGCCUACAAAGUCCCGCAUAAUCCAGUUCUGGCUUACUUCACAACUUUAUCUCCUUUCCAUUGUUCCACCAAGCUCUAGUUACACUGUACUUGUGGUCUGGGAGUAUCUGGAAUUAAACCCAGGGUCUUGAGCAUACUAAGCAAGUGGUCUGCCACUGAGCUACAUACGUAGCUCCCACACUACUUUCUGAUCUUGGUCCAACAAGCCCUUUCAGUUUUAGUGCUUGCUGCUUUCUGUGGAGAACUUUCCCCAGCUCUCUGCAGUUACGCUUCGGUUUCAGCUAUAGAUCUCAGCCCAGAUAUCAUUAUUUUUAGUUUUUCUAGACCAUCUUAUAUAAAAGAGCAAUCCUCUACAUUGCCUUCAUAAUCCUUAUGAGUAAUUAUUUUUAUGCAGUUCUUUACCUUGCUUUCCCUCUUAAAUUGUAUCAGGAAAAUGGAAAUAUGUUGACUUUCCUACCUUAUUUCAGAUAGCCCAGGAAUUGGCAGGUGCUCAAAAAACUUUAAUUGAAAGAAAUGUAUAAGGUAUACAACAGUUUGUCCUUAUCAAUUCCCUUCAUAGGCUACUUAAACUAAUUUCUUAAGGUAUUAUACCUACCUGAGUAUAAUUUGUCAUUUUUUAUUUAGGACAUCUGUCUCUUGAGGACUGAUUCCUUCAUCUGGCUGCAUGUUAUUGAGAGCAAAAUGUUCUCAGUUACUGUAUGUUAGGGUUAAAUUGAGUAAUUAUGCACGAAAGGUUUUUAGCAAAGAUGGAAAGUUAAUCAAUAUGAGAAGUAAAUAGUUCACAGUGCCCAAAUGAAUGAUAUAGAUGAGUGUUCAUAGAGACAAAGGAAGAAGUCACAGCUCUAGUAGUCAGAAGAGGAAGUAAAAAUGAGGUGGGGUCAUUGCAUGAUAUUAAAGGAGUAUGUAAAUCUUAACAGUGAACCAUGGUGGGCAGCAAUACAGAAAUUGAAGUAAAUUCAAGAAAGUACUUUGCUUUAGCAGAUAAUUUGUGAAAUGGAUUCUAGGUCCUUAGUCCUUUAUCUAGAACUUUUCUUUCCAUUUAUUUACGAACUCAGGAUUUUGGAGUAAGAUUUGUUUGGGAUUUUAGUAAAAGUAAUGAGACAUUAUUAAUGUGAAAUAUAAAUAGUCAGAUUAAGUGGUUUAAAAAAUGUAAGGCACAGCAGUGCUCAGGUGAAAUUUUAUUGUUUAAAUUUUUAUUAGAUCAUGUUUUUCCACCAAAUUAGAUAUAAAACUUUUGGUUUUCAGAGAUUUGGAACUUCAGGAUGUCUAUGGGAAACAAUCCUGAAAUCAUUUGAAAAGGCAUUAUUCAUUAAUAUGUAUUUUGGGGGAAAUGUUAAGGCCUGAAAAUAUUACUUUUAAGCAAUUAAAUUAGAAACAUUCUGCCAAGUAAUUCUUUUUGAACCUGGCACAUAAAUUCUUAUAACAUGUAGUUCAUCUCCCAGUUGAUAAGGUUUCUAAGAAUUAUGUAAUGCCUAUAAUUAUAAAAUAGGAUACAUUAGAAGACUAGGAAUAUAUAGCUCAGUUGGCUUGCCUUGCAUGCAAAAGGCCGUGGGUUCAAUCUCUAGCACCACAAAAAACAAAAACAGUCUCUCUUUAGGAUAAAAAUUGUUGAUGGAAUCACUUGUUGUAAUAGUGACAAGGAAGAAGUAAAUAGCUGAAGAGGCUCUUUGGGAACUUAAAAUUGAUUACAGGAAGUGUCUAUAUGCUUUAUUUUCCCCCAUAUAUUCUGCUUAUUCUAGCAGCAUAAUUAACACCCAAACUUUGGUUUUCGUUUGCUUUUAUCCAUUCAUUUGGUAUAUAUACUAAUGUUCAAAAAUGGAAGCAUGUAUGUGUAUGAAUUUUUUUCCCUGAUAUUAAUUUUCUCUCUCAAUAAAAUUGUCCGGACAGACAUGUAGGAAAGCUACCCUUUUUUCAGGGGAAAGGAGGUACCAGGGAUUCAACUCAGGGACAGUAAGCAUAAACUGCUGCUUAGGUUGAGAUAUUAAAAUUGUUAAGAGAAAUUAUGGGAAGUGCUUGUGCUGCCACUGUUUGUUGUUGCUUGAGUAAUUUUUCUCCUCCAAACUUUUGGCAGGUUUACUAGGAAAUUUUCAUUUAGGAAUACCCUGGCCUUGAAGUUUUGUUCAGAAUGUGCAAUUUAAUCAUGCAGAUUAUGAAUCUACAAUUUAAAAUGAGGACAUUCUAUGUCUUCUUAAUUUGUUUGGAGAUAGUCAUAUUAAGCAUGUUAUUUAAUCCUAGUGAUGAGGUUAGUAGUAAAUGAAAA
rnacentral:lncRNA from 1 species